UAUACAGCGAAACUGCGAAUGGCUCAUUAUAUAAGUUAUCGUUUAUUUGAUAGUGCCUUACUACUUGGAUAACCGUGGUAAUUCUAGAGCUAAUACAUGCUAAAAACCCCGACUUCGGAAGGGGUGUAUUUAUUAGAUACAAAACCAAUGCCCUUCGGGGCUCUUUGGCGAUUCAUGAUAACUAUACGAAUCGCACGGCCUUGCGCCGGCGAUGGUUCAUUCAAAUUUCUUCCCUAUCAACUUUCGAUGUUUGGGUAUUGGCCAAACAUGGUUGCAACGGGUAACGGAGGGUUAGGGCUCGACCCCGGAGAAGGAGCCUGAGAAACGGCUACUACAUCCAAGGAAGGCAGCAGGCGCGCAAAUUACCCAAUCCCGACUCGGGGAGGUAGUGACAAUAAAUACUGAUACAGGGCCCUUUCGGGCCUUGUAAUUGGAAUGAGUACAAUUUAAAUCCCUUAACGAGGAACAAUUGGAGGGCAAGUCUGGUGCCAGCAGCCGCGGUAAUUCCAGCUCCAAUAGCGUAUAU
rnacentral:rRNA from 1 species